rnacentral:rRNA from 1 species
CCCCUAGAUGUUCUGGGCCGCACGCGCGCUACACUGAACAGUUCAACAAGUCUUAACCUUGGCCGAUAGGUCUGGGUAAUCUUUGAACGCUGUUCGAGAUUGGGAUAGACCUUUGCAAUUAUGGGUCUUCAACGAGGAAUUCCUAGUAAACGCAAGUCAUCAGCUUGCAUUGAUUACGUCCCUGCCCUUUGUACACACCGCCCGUCGCACCUACCGAUUGAAUGGUCCGGUGAAAUCUCGGGACGGCGGCUUGGUCGCUUGCGUCCGACUGCUGAAACUUGAUUAAACCAUAUCAUUUAGAGGAAGGUGAANUCGUANCA